GACGUAGGGCGCAAGCGUUUGUCCGGAUUUAUUGGGCGUAAAGAGCUCGUAGGUGGUUUGUCGCGUUGUUCGUGAAAACUCACAGCUUAACUGUGGGCGUGCGGGCGAUACGGGCAGACUGGAGUACUGCAGGGGAGACUGGAAUUCCUGGUGUAGCGGUGGAAUGCGCAGAUAUCAGGAGGAACACCGGUGGCGAAGGCGGGUCUCUGGGCAGUGAACUGACGCUGAGGAGCGAAAGCGUGGGGAGCGAACAGG
rnacentral:rRNA from 1 species